AUGGUGGGAGUUGUAGUCCAAGGGAGGCCUUCCCUCCACUUUCUGCAGCAGGAUUCCCAGGCUCCAUUUCUAAGUUCAAUUCCCAGAAGCCUCAGCUGCCUUGAGCCAAGGCUGGGGCUUCUGGGCGAUGGAGUCCCAGGAGAUGGAAGGCGAGGGGGAAGGAAGCCGAGAAGGAAGCAAGCCCAAGAAGCCUCUUCUUUGUCUGCCUGUCUGGCUUUCCCUUUGCAGCCGCAGUCCUGUUCCUUUAACGCUAAGCCCCGCCUCUCUAUGGGCGCCUCCUCGUGGCCGCCAUGUCCAGGCCGGGCGGAAGUAGAGCGAGAGGGAGGCCUCCGCUCCCUAGAGAGGCCGGAUGAAGUGCUUAGGAGGGGAGCAGAGAGUGACGCUCUUCGCUCUGAGCUCACUUCCGGAGGAGCGGGGCCUUGUCUCGGGCGCCUUCCAGACCAGGCCUGCAUCCGGGUGUUUCGGGCCUGGCCUCCCUCAGGGACUCCUCAGAGGCGGCGUUCCCUUCUCCCUCAGCCGCUAACCUCUGAACAAGUCUUGUGAAGAACACCUAGUGAGAGCUUUGCCCGGGGAGUAAAUCUAAAGUGACUUGAAGAUACACAACAAUGAGAAGAAUAAAAAAUAAGUAGUACACAAAUAUAUUUCAAGCUACAUACCCAUGCAGAAUGUGCUGUAAAAAGAACGGCUUGGGAAAGCCAGCAGAAUUCUACAGCAGUACAAACACAGUGCUGUUCAAGAGGUUAUAAACACCUGGCAUAAUACU
rnacentral:lncRNA from 1 species